AUUUGGUUCACGCAAGACCUUAAGCGGCUACCCCUCAUUUAGCCACUGCGAACAUUUUUAGUCAUUUUACAGAUUUUCUUACAUAACUCGAUCUUCCACUCGAAAACGUUUUCGCCUUUUUCGGGCUAUAGGAUAAUUCGACUCCGAAACGAAGUCUUAUGUCUUGUUAGUGUUUAAUAAGCACGUAUUCCUACUUCUACUGGCGCGUUUUUCUCACUCGCUGGUAUGUUUUAAAAUGGGGAUUAUCGCAACAUAUCUGAUUUAUGUUUGCAUUUGCACUAAAGUUAUCGACAAUGCAAGCAACGUAGAUUUAAGCGUGUGGAAAACAGUCAAUUAAAUUCAGUGUUUAAAAUUUAGGAUGUAUUUGAGGAAAUCAUCUAGCUGUUUUUCGUGAUCAUCAAUUAUAAAAAUGGUAGCGUAUUUUGUAUAAAAGAAGAAAAAACAUCGUUUUGACAGUCUUGAGCUAAGUUCAAACGUCGUAUUAAUGCAAAUGCAUGCAAAUGAAGAUGAAACAAUCGACUUGAUUUAUUUGCAUGCAUUUGCAUUGGAUACGGCUCAUGGAUAAUACGACGUUUGAACUUAGGCUCAGAAAUAUUAAAUGGAAUUUUCCUCAACAAGACAAGUCAAUUAAAGUUUUUAUUCAUUCAAAAAUUAAAUAUUAUUUCGUUUUGUAUUCUCACAAUUUCUUUACCACACUUCACUUUUUCAGAAGACAUCAGUUAGUCACUAUAACAGUUAAUAACCAUACCUGCAUAUUGCAUGUUUGAUAUUGAUAUGAUUAUAAACUGGAAAUUUUUUAUAUUUUUACUUAUUUUCUAUGACCCACAAAUCUAGAUUAAACCUGGAUCUCCUUUUCUUAAACAUGGAAACGCUAUGCUUAUUUUAGACACAGUAAAAAAACCUAGAUGUCAUAAUUGGAGUGCUUGUUCAAACACAAAAAAGAAACAGUACUUUUUUAUAAUUUAUGGGAAUACUCAUUGAGGUAUAAUAAAACCCGUGACUAACUUUUAAAAUAAUCUUUAUAAGCCUUAAGCGCUAAUUUCCAGGGAAUCGUCUUUAGAAGCUUUAUAUGUAUGGUUGACUAAAAAAUUCUGGUCGAUCUUGAUCUAACCAAUUGAAAGUCGAUAUAUUUCUGAGCGGGUGCUCAUUGUAAGUUAAAAAUUAUCAAUUUCUCCAUUUUUUUAAUCAAAUUUGGGAAAACAGGGGAGGGGUACCACGGGUAGGGUAUUUGCUGACUGCAAACUGUAUUCUCUUGGAAAAUUCCAGAAUUUCAGAGGUUAUGGGGGUCAUCAGUCACCUUUGUCCCAGCCCUCUUUGUGUCGGUCACGCAACGAGGGAAAUGUUGUGUGACCACCACAAAGAACCGCUGGGAAGGAGAGUGGGAUCAGUAUUAUAAUGACUUUUAAUCCACUGAUAACAGUUCAGAGAUAUCAGACAACAACAAUCGAGCACAAAUACACUCCUUUUUUAAUAAGAACCUUUUUUAUAAGAACGUCCGGGCCGAGAUUUCAACAAAUUUUAAGAACAAGCAAAGAACAUGCCGAGGGUGACAUGACGGAAAAACCGUCAUGCCCUGUGUAUCAGGACAGGGACGAAAAGCUCAAAUUUCAAUGACACUUUACAAAAAGUCGCAUCAAUUUAAAAAAAGUCGCACUUAAUAUUUUGGCGUCUAUAAGUCACUAAGUACUCAGAAAAAUUCUUUGCCUUAUUCGAUGUGAAAUGGGCUUAUUUGACGCGUCACGUCAUGUUUUUCAGUCAUGUCGCCGAUGCUCAGAUAGCAGCAACAUAUUGCUUCUUUAGUCUUAUGGGUUCUAAAAUGCAUUUUUAUUUAUAACAACCUUAAAUAUUAUAUUGCUAUAGAUCAUUUGAGUAAUUCUCCUCCUAAUAGUUCAUUGGGUACUAUAUUUUAUAAGCACUAAAAUUUAAGAACAUCGCUAAGAACAUCUUCAGCCUUGAAAUGCUCCAAAAAUAAGAACGGCCCAGCCUCAACUGAAAAUUAGACGUUUAAAAAAAAAAAAAAAAAAAAAGAUUGAUUUUUAAGCGAUCUUAGCCUGGUUGCCAAAAUCCCUUGCUGGUGCAGGGAGCCCGUAAUUGAGACUUGUGCUGAUUCUGGUUACAGAUAUUGGUAUUUAGUAACCUAAUUUAAGUUAUAACUAGAUAACAUCGACUUAAAAAUCAGUAUCAGCAAAUAACAUAGAAUCACUCGUAAGAAACAAGGAAAAUCCCCAAUCUUUUCUUUUUUCGGCAGAAAAAAAAUGUUAAUAGGAUAUCGCUUAAUCAACUUACCAAUAACAUUCUGUCAAUCUAUGUGGCUUUCUGGUUAUCAUUCUGACAAAACAAACAUGAAAUUCGCUAUGUUGCCCAUUUCCACGUCGUCUUCGCCCCCCAUUUUGAAUUUACCGCCCCAGAAUGCAACAUUCAGCCCCAAGUCUUCAUGUGCUACGCAGCCGCUCACUGUGAGGGAAAGUUGAAGUCGAUUGGAAUUCGCAGAGUCGAAGGUCAGAUGGAACAUCAGGGGCUGUUUGAUAGCUUGGAUUCCACUGACAAGACUAGGUCAAGGCUUGCGCACGGAUCUGACAAGUUUUCCCAUUUCCUUUACCGCCGUAAACAAAACACGAUGCACUGUAUCAAAUGUGCGGUGAAAGAUACAAUUUUAGUGAUGAAAUACCUUCUGAGGUUUACUUAUUGAAAAGAAGAGUAUUUUUUUUCAAUGGCUUAAGGCCGGAUUAUCUCGAAUAAUGGAGCGUAAAUGAGUUUGAAUCGAUAAAAGAAAAAACGCGUGGUUGUGCUAUGUUGGCAAAUAUACGUUAGAAGGCGUGCCUCGAGAACCGAGGUGGGAACAUGAAUAAAUUUGCCUUAGCAGCAAUGGCUUCUAACAGCCUGGCUUUGGUUCGAAGCCAUAUCAAAUAAACGACCUUAGCAACAAAGGCAUCAGAGUGCUUGUCCUGUGUAACGGAAACACUUCAGACACUUUUGUACAACAAAUAGAUCGCCCUAGUAACGAAGACACGUCUUUGAGGCCUACCUCAACAAUAGGGCGACAUAGAGUUUUCUCUAAUUAUAACACAUCAACGAGGUAUGCCUUAGCAACAGACGCGUCAAAUAUCUUUCCCCGGCAACGGGAAGGUCUAUGGUGCGAACCUUUAGCAAGAGAAGUCUCAAAUGGUUUGCCGUAGUAACGGGGACGCGUAAAAUGGUAGUAUCAUAGCAACAUAGGUAUCCGAGGGCUUGCCCUAGCAAUGGAUCCACGUGGUAACCGCUGCCUAGUAACGGACACCUUCGUAACCAACAAUGUGACAUUUCAAGAAGGAAAUGUACUAAAUGGAAGUGACAAGCCUCAACGUUAAAUAGGAAUUCGCUAUUUAAAUAAAGAUGCUCGCACAUAACCAU